rnacentral:rRNA from 1 species
UAGUCCACGCCGUAAACGAUGUCAACUAGCCGUUGGGUCCAUUUAAGGGCUUAGUGGCGCAGCUAACGCGAUAAGUUGACCGCCUGGGGAGUACGCCGGCAACGGUAAAACUCAAAUGAAUUGACGGGGGCCCGCACAAGCGGUGGAGCAUGUGGUUUAAUUCGAUGCAACGCGAAAAACCUUACCUACCCUUGACAUGCCUGUUUCGGGAUCUGGAGACAGAUCCUUUCAGUUCGGCUGGACAGUGCACAGGUGCUGCAUGGCUGUCGUCAGCUCGUGUCAUGAGAUGUUGGGUUAAGUCCCGUAACGAGCGCAACCCUUGUCCUUAGUUGCCAGCGCGUAAUGGCGGGGACUCUAGGGAGACUGCCGGUGACAAACCGGAGGAAGGUGGGGAUGACGUCAAGUCAUCAUGGCCCUUAUGGGCAGGGCUACACACGUGCUACAAUGGUCGGUACAGAGGGUUGCAAAACCGCGAGGUUGAGCUAAUCCCAGAAAACCGAUCGUAGUCCGGAUUGC